rnacentral:rRNA from 1 species
UUUAUGGAGAGUUUGAUCCUGGCUCAGGAUGAACGCUGGCGGCGUGCCUAAUACAUGCAAGUCGAGCGAACGGACGAGAAGCUUGCUUCUCUGAUGUUAGCGGCGGACGGGUGAGUAACACGUGGAUAA